CACUAGGGAAUCCUACGAGAUCGCGAGCUUCGUGAUUGAGGAUUUCUAUGCGGCUUGUGGUAAUUUGUGAUGGACUAGUUGGAGCACCCCUGCAGGGUUAAAUCUUUUCGGAAAGCCGUGCCCGCGGUUAUGUGGCAACGUGGAAACUUUGUUUAACACUGGUUCUAGAUAACUUGAAGUUAACUUAAUUAAAACAUGCCAACUGCGUGCGUAACCGUGACUGUCUCUUUCGAGAGUUCUUUCUCCGAUCGAGGACACGGUGGGGUUAUGUCUGGCGUAGGUAGGUGUUUCAGGAUCAUUCUUUUGAUCAUCAGUAGUUCACGUCCGUUAUGCGUAGAUCACCCCCCUC
rnacentral:lncRNA from 1 species